rnacentral:rRNA from 1 species
CAGGUCUGUGAUGCCCUUAGAUGUUUUGGGCUGCACGCGCGCUACACUGAUGCGUUCAACGAGUUUAUGACCUUGCCCGGAAGGGUUGGGUAAUCUUUUNAAAACGCAUCGUGAUGGGGAUAGAUUAUUGCAAUUAUUAAUCUUCAACGAGGAAUUCCUAGUAAGCGCGAGUCAUCAGCUCGUGCUGAUUACGUCCCUGCCCUUUGCACACACCGCCC